ACAUAACUUUCCACAGUAUCCUGAUGUCAAUGCGAGUGUGUUCCCUGCAUUUUCAUUCUGGAAAACCAGCAAAUGAAAUGUACACCUCGCAUCCGGAUUGGGCACCAUCACUACACUUGGGCCACACUGAGAUAAAGGCCACACAGACUGCACGCUAUGAGAGACAGGAAAAGAGAAAACGGCAAAGGACUGACAGUACACCUGCGAGGAUGAGACAGCUAUUGAUGACCUUGUUCCACCCGUGGAGACACCAGCACCAGGUGAGGACGGAGCUGAGCAGACACCGCUGACAGAAUGUGACUUCUGUCAGCGCCGGCGUGCUGAAAUCAACCGGCUGCUGGAGGAGAACAGGACCCUGAAACGUCUUGCACUCUCAGCGCAUUAAUGAGACUCCCCUGAAGCCAUGGGUCAUCAUUGCUGACGAUGGGCAGUUUUGCUUUGCACACUGUACAUGCAUGGCUGGAAUUGCAGAGGCAUGUACACAUGUUGGGGCUCUGCUGUUUAAGAUUGAGGCAGCAGUCCGCAUCCGUGGGAAAAAGACUGUGACAGAUGUGCCAGCUUAUUGGAAAAUACCAGCAGGUAUCAACAAAGUCAGCGGUGAAGUCGCCCACAAGAUGGACUUCACUUCAUCCAAAGCGCAGAGGAUUGCUCUGGACAGAGUCAUUGAUGACAACAUUCCCAUGCCUGGCCUACGGACACGGGCCAGCAGACGCACUGCCCAAGCCACAUUGGACGACUUAUCGUCAAUGUUCCCUGUUCUUCAGAACCAUAGGUCAGUUUGUAUGUCCACAGUGAAGCCCUACUUUCACAACUAUGCUGCUCCUGUCCAGCCAGCUGUGAUCCCAAAACCCCUGCAAGACCGUCUGCGCGACCCAAAGUUUGAAAAUGCUCCACCAGCUGUCCUUCUCCAGCACUGUGAGACAGUGAAAGACAUUGCAGCUGCAUAUUAUUGCACGUCGUUAUAU